rnacentral:lncRNA from 1 species
UCUCCACUCAUUUGUGCCAGAAUAGCAUGUUCCUCUGGUAAAAUGGGUGGUAUGAAAGCCUUUGUCUGCAUAUUCCCAAAGAAAUGAAGAUAUGCGCAGAUACAAUCAUCCUUUUGCCAGAGCUGAGAAGUAUUAACACUAACAGUAUGGACAUGGGACUCUGCAGAUUGAAUUACUCUCACUAACUAUAAAGUUGGCACAAUGUACACUUCAACAUUGCUUAUCUGAAAGACAUCUCAUCCAAAGACAUUCAGCCUGAAGAAAUCUCUGCGUGAAUGUACUGCAGAUCCUGAAAACUCCCCUCCACCAAGCUCCAAAGAUUGUUAGUUGUAAUAAAAUUAAUCAGUAUUAGUUAUUGAAACA